CCCUUAGAUGUUCUGGGCCGCACGCGCGCUACACUGAGCCCUUCAUCGAGUUUACAACCUUGGCCGGUAGGUCUGGGUAAUCUUCUCAAAGGGGCUCGUGCUGGGGAUAGAUUAUUGUAAUUUUUAAUCUUCAACGAGGAAUUCCUAGUAAACGCAAGUCAACAGCUUGCAUUGAUUACGUCCCUGCCCUUUGUACACACCGCCCGUCGCUCCUACCGAUUGAGUGGUCCGGUGAGGCUUUGGGAUCUGAGCGGAAAGAGCGUUUCGCUGUUUCUGCUCGGAAAACUCAGUCGAACCUUAUCAUUUAGAGGAAGGAGAAGUCGUAACA
rnacentral:rRNA from 1 species